AUUGAACGCUGGCGGCAUGCUUUACACAUGCAAGUCGAACGGCAGCGCGGGCUUCGGCCUGGCGGCGAGUGGCGAACGGGUGAGUAAUGCAUCGGAACGUGCCCAGUAGUGGGGGAUAGCCCGGCGAAAGCCGGAUUAAUACCGCAUACGACCUGAGGGUGAAAGCGGGGGACCGAAAGGCCUCGCACUAUUGGAGCGGCCGAUGUCGGAUUAGCUAGUUGGUGGGGUAAAGGCUUACCAAGGCGACGAUCCGUAGCUGGUCUGAGAGGACGACCAGCCACACUGGGACUGAGACACGGCCCAGACUCCUACGGGAGGCAGCAGUGGGGAAUUUUGGACAAUGGGGGCAACCCUGAUCCAGCCAUGCCGCGUGCGGGAAGAAGGCCUUCGGGUUGUAAACCGCUUUUGUUCGGGAAGAAAUCCUCUGGGCUAAUACCCCGGGGGGAUGACGGUACCGGAAGAAUAAGCACCGGCUAACUACGUG
rnacentral:rRNA from 1 species